CAACUGACCAGAAUAGACUUCCUUUCUCUUUUCUGUCUGCUCCCUAUGGAGCAGUUGAGAAGGUUCAUUUGCAUACAUCUUCAUUUAUUGUCUUUCCAAAGCCUUUGAUACCGAGCACGCUAAGAUGGGUAUCCUCAUUUUACAAAGAUCAAGGCAGAGAGAAGAGAAGGGACUAGCCUAGGAUCACACAAUUGACAUGUCAUCGCUGAGACCAGCAGUAAAUACACAGAUGGGUAAGACUCAAAAGAACCUACAAAUCCUGUACAAUGAAAUCACGUGGCAAGAAUGUGGUUAUUCUGAGAAACAGAAUAAAGCAGCAUUUUGCUGUGCCUUUUCACACAGCUGCCAAUCAAUGGUACAUGCUGGCAUACUUUCAGAAUAGCUGCUCUGUUUAACCCAAUGACCCAGAGGCAGCAAUUUGGAGCUUAGCAAGUGACAUCCCAUGACAUCCAGGAUGCCCUCUCCACCUACCUGCACCCAGUCAAUCACCAAGUCACAGGGAUUUCACCUCUGGAAUAAUUUCAAUCACCACCUGCAUUCCCAAUGGCUUCGUCCAGGCUCUUAUCUCUUAGCUGCACUAUAA
rnacentral:lncRNA from 1 species